GCUAUACAUGCAGUCGAGCGAACAGACGAGGAGCUUGCUCCUCUGACGUUAGCGGCGGACGGGUGAGUAACACGUGGAUAACCUACCUAUAAGACUGGGAUAACUUCGGGAAACCGGAGCUAAUACCGGAUAAUAUAUUGAACCGCAUGGUUCAAUAGUGAAAGACGGUUUUGCUGUCACUUAUAGAUGGAUCCGCGCCGCAUUAGCUAGUUGGUAAGGUAACGGCUUACCAAGGCAACGAUGCGUAGCCGACCUGAGAGGGUGAUCGGCCACACUGGAACUGAGACACGGUCCAGACUCCUACGGGAGGCAGCAGUAGGGAAUCUUCCGCAAUGGGCGAAAGCCUGACGGAGCAACGCCGCGUGAGUGAUGAAGGUCUUCGGAUCGUAAAACUCUGUUAUUAGGGAAGAACAAAUGUGUAAGUAACUAUGCACGUCUUGACGGUACCUAAUCAGAAAGCCACGGCUAACUACGUGCCAGCAGCCGCGGUAAUACGUAGGUGGCAAGCGUUAUCCGGAAUUAUUGGGCGUAAAGCGCGCGUAGGCGGUUUUUUAAGUCUGAUGUGAAAGCCCACGGCUCAACCGUGGAGGGUCAUUGGAAACUGGAAAACUUGAGUGCAGAAGAGGAAAGUGGAAUUCCAUGUGUAGCGGUGAAAUGCGCAGAGAUAUGGAGGAACACCAGUGGCGAAGGCGACUUUCUGGUCUGUAACUGACGCUGAUGUGCGAAAGCGUGGGGAUCAAACAGUUAGAUACCCUGGUAGUCCACGCCGUAAACGAUGAGUGCUAAGUGUUAGGGGGUUUCCGCCCCUUAGUGCUGCAGCUAACGCAUUAAGCACUCCGCCUGGGGAGUACGACCGCAAGGUU
rnacentral:rRNA from 1 species